UUAAAUGCAUUUUCAUUAUGCUUAAAAAAAAAUUAAUCUUAUGGGUACACGUAUGAAUGCUGUAUGGUUUUGACACGUUUUUAUUGAUUUUUUUUUUCCUUUUUUCGUAUUUUUCUACCGCAUCAUUUUUUGACGUAAUGGUUCAUAUAUCGAUGUCAUUUUCUUUUUAUAUUUUUUUGUUCAAACAACUCGAAAGUUUUGUGAAAAUCGCUGUCAUGUACAUCUUUUCAUAUUCUGACAUUCUACUAUCUAUUGAAAGUUAACGAUCGACUUUAAUCUGGAUGAUAAAAGAAGAAAUAAAGUAAUUUUGCGACACUGUAACAGCUGCGUGUCCGUCGGAUCGAAAGCAAUAUUUUUGACAGGAAUAGAAUUAAUUUCGGAAAAAAAAAGAACCCCAGCACGUUUAAGCUAUUCAAAGUAUUCCCGAAAUAAUUUUAUAAGGGCUAUAAAAUUUCUUAAGAUAAUAUACAGUUUUAUAGAAUCGAAAGAACGAGUCGCAUCAUCCGCAUAAAACAAACGUUAAGGUCAGGUUGAUGCGAAGAGUGACAUAUUUACGCUUUCUCUAGUUAGCUGUGUACAAUUAUUUUCCAUUCCCGUAUUUUGGGACGAGGGCCCAACUUUAUAAAAGUGAUUUAUGAUAAUCAAACUCGAGUUAAAACAAAUUUUAUUUAAAAAUUUAUACAAAGCGUCAUCGGUUUCUGAAUGGGAAUCGAACACGGAUAUUACUGAUGAUAAAUUGAAAUUCUGUCUACAAUGGCCAUCCCGAUGAGAGUUUCAGUGUUGUAUAUAAAAAUAUAACACUGAAACUCUUAUCCUGUUUGUUUAUCUAAACAGUUUCAAGAGGUUAUUCUUUGAAACUCUUAUGACCGUGGUCAUUAAGUCUUACAAGAAAUGCUUUAAGUUGUUAUAUCAUCUCAUUUUGAAGGAAAAUAAUGAGGGAUUCGUUGUUCGCAAAGCUGUUAAAUUAUUUCAAGAAGAGAUGCUCGGCAAAGUCUGAAAGGAUAACACUUGUAUCAGGAACACACUAACAAUUACUCAGAUUGAAGUAUAGUAAAGAAAUUUUUAUUUUCGAAGAUCAGUAAUCGUUGUAUAGAUAACUAAAAUAGAUAUCAAUAUUUAAGUUAUUCGUAACUGUGUUUACCGAAAACGUUUCUUGUUAGCGUGAGAGUUAACUGUUGUAUAUGGCAAAAUCAAUUUUGACAAAAAUAAUCAAGAUAUAACCCCCUAGUCUUAUAUGGUUUUUAAAAUGUUACCGUUUUGGCAAGAUAACAGAAUUUUGGCAAGAUACCAAACACAUUUGGCAACCAACAAAAGAGGAAAGGGGAUCAAACAAAUCUUACGUUGUCAAACUACAACAUUUUAUAAUGUUUACCAAACACACACACAAAAAAAAUACAGAAAUAAAACUUUUAAUUUAUAUAAUAUACAACAUAUAUAUAUAUAUAUACGUUCGUGUAGAAAGAUAGAAAAUUCCUGCAAUUUAUUCUCUGCACUUUAGGCUU
rnacentral:lncRNA from 1 species